rnacentral:rRNA from 1 species
UACAGGGGGGGCAAGCGUUGUUCGGAAUUACUGGGCGUAAAGGGCUCGUAGGUGGCCAACUAAGUCAGACGUGAAAUCCCUCAGCUUAACUGGGGAACUGCGUCUGAUACUGGAUGGCUUGAGUUUGGGAGAGGGAUGCGGAAUUCCAGGUGUAGCGGUGAAAUGCGUAGAUAUCUGGAGGAACACCGGUGGCGAAGGCGGCUACCUGGACCAGCACUGACACUGAGGCACGAAAGCGUGGGGAGCAAACAGG